GACGAACCGUGCGAACGUUGUUCGGAUUCACUGGGCUUAAAGGGCGCGUAGGCGGGCGUGCCAGUCAGGGGUGAAAUCCUCCGGCUCAACCGGAGCAGGGCCUUUGAUACUGCAAGUCUUGAGGGAGGCAGGGGCAUGUGGAACUUCCGGUGGAGCGGUGAAAUGCGUAGAUAUCGGAAGGAACGCCGGUGGCGAAAGCGACGUGCUGGACCUCUUCUGACGCUGAGGCGCGAAAGCUAGGGGAGCAAACGGG
rnacentral:rRNA from 1 species